CCCUUAGAUGUUCUGGGCAGCACGCGCGCUACAAUGGUCUUCGCAAACGGAUGCAUUCUCGAAGGAGAAUGCCAAUCUUGGAAUCUAUGCCUUGGUCGGGACAGUUGCUUGCAAUUUUUCGACUCGAACCAGGAAUUCCUUGUAAUCGUGAUUCAUCACAUCACGAUGAAUACGUCCCUGCCCUUUGUACACACCGCCCGUCGCUCCUACCGAUCGAAGAGUUAGGUGAAUUGUUUUGAUCGAUAAGAUUUGACUAUUGUCAACUCUCGUUGUGAAAUUCUGUGAAUCUGACUGUUUAGAGGAAGGAAAAGUCGUAACA
rnacentral:rRNA from 1 species